UACGUAGGGUGCAAGCGUUAAUCGGAAUUACUGGGCGUAAAGCGUGCGCAGGCGGUGAUGUAAGACAGAUGUGAAAUCCCCGGGCUCAACCUGGGAACUGCAUUUGUGACUGCAUCGCUGGAGUACGGCAGAGGGGGAUGGAAUUCCGCGUGUAGCAGUGAAAUGCGUAGAUAUGCGGAGGAACACCGAUGGCGAAGGCAAUCCCCUGGGCCUGUACUGACGCUCAUGCACGAAAGCGUGGGGAGCAAACAGGAUUAGAAACCCUAGGU
rnacentral:rRNA from 1 species